UACGUAGGGGGCAAGCGUUGUCCGGAAUCAUUGGGCGUAAAGAGCGUGUAGGCGGCCCGGUAAGUCCGCUGUGAAAGUCCAGGGCUCAACCCUGGGAUGCCGGUGGAUACUGUCGGGCUCGAGUCCGGAAGAGGAGUGUGGAAUUCCCGGUGUAGCGGUGAAAUGCGCAGAUAUCGGGAAGAACACCCGUGGCGAAGGCGGUUCUCUGGGACGGUACUGACGCUGAGGAGCGAAAGCGUGGGGAGCAAACAGG
rnacentral:rRNA from 1 species